ACGAACGCUGGCGGCGUGCUUAACACAUGCACGUCGAACGGAAAGGCCCUGCUUUUGUGGGGUGCUCGAGUGGCGAACGGGUGAGUAACACGUGAGUAACCUGCCCUUGACUUUGGGAUAACUUCAGGAAACUGGGGCUAAUACCGGAUAGGAGCUCCUGCUGCAUGGUGGGGGUUGGAAAGUUUCGGCGGUUGGGGAUGGACUCGCGGCUUAUCAGCUUGUUGGUGGGGUAGUGGCUUACCAAGGCUUUGACGGGUAGCCGGCCUGAGAGGGUGACCGGCCACAUUGGGACUGAGAUACGGCCCAGACGCCUACGGGAGGCAGCAGUGGGGAAUAUUGCACAAUGGGCGGAAGCCUGAUGCAGCAACGCCGCGUGCGGGAUGACGGCCUUCGGGUUGUAAACCGCUUUCGCCUGUGACGAAGCGUGAGUGACGGUAAUGGGUAAAGAAGCACCGGCUAACUACGUG
rnacentral:rRNA from 1 species